GUGAUGUUGGUAGUUCUAUCUCUAUUAUUAGGAUGCAUAGAAAUUGACAUCUAGCAAGAAAUUCUAAUCGAUUGCCUUAUUUUAAUAAUCAUUUAGAUGGCACCUAGCAAGAAAUGGAUGAAUUUUGUGAAUGAUCGAUUGAAUGAAAAAUAUAAAGCUGGCGUGGUUAAAUUUUUGGACUAUGCUUUUUCAAAGAUGGGUGAAGUGUGUGAA
rnacentral:lncRNA from 1 species